rnacentral:rRNA from 1 species
AGAGUUUGAUCCUGGCUCAGGAUGAACGCUGGCGGCGUGCUUAAUACAUGCAAGUCGAACGGUCCCGCUUCGGUGGGAUAGUGGCGAACGGGUGAGUAACGCGUGGGUGACCUGCCCCCCCAGUGAGGGAUAACAGCUCGAAAGGGCUGCUAAUACCGCAUGGGCUCCCGGGGACUAACAGUCCGGGAGCAAAGGUCGCAAGAUCGCUGGGGGAGGGGCCUGCGUCCCAUCAGCUAGUUGGUAAGGUAACGGCCUACCAAGGCGAUGACGGGUAGGGGACCUGAGAGGGUGGCCCCCCACAAUGGAACUGAAACACGGUCCAUACACCUACGGGUGGCAGCAGUAGGGAAUAUUAGUUAAUGUGCGAAAGCGCGAACUAGCAACGCCGCGUGCGCAAUGAAGGUCUUCGGAUCGUAAAGCGCUUUUCGAGGGGAUGAGGAAGGACAGUACCCUCGGAAUAAGUCUCGGCUAACUACGUGCCAGCAGCCGCGGUAAAACGUAGGAGGCGAGCGUUAUCCGGAUUUACUGGGCGUAAAGCGCGUGCAGGCGGCUCGGAAAGUUGGAUGUGAAAGCUCCCGGCUCAACUGGGAGAGGUCGUUCAAGACUUCCGGGCUAGAGGAUGGUAGAGGGAGGUGGAAUUCCGGGUGUAGUGGUGAAAUGCGUAGAUAUCCGGAGGAACACCAGUGGCGAAAGCGGCCUCCUGGACCAUUUCUGACGCUCAGACACGAAAGCUAGGGUAGCAAACGGGAUUAGAGACCCCGGUAGUCCUAGCUGUAAACGAUGUAGACUUGGCGUCGGGGGGUUUAAAUCCCUCGGUGCCGCAGCCAACGCGAUAAGUCUACCGCCUGGGGACUACGGCCGCAAGGUUAAAACUCAAAUGAAUUGACGG